CAGGGGACGUCGCGGCGAUUGCAGACUCCGCGGUGACUGUGUAGAUACGUCCAGAGUUCGCCCGUGUAGCGCGGGGAGAGGCGAGAGUGAAGGCCUAGAAAAGCUGGUGUGCAAUGGUGCCAUCUCAGCUCACUGCAACCUCUGCCUCCCGGGUUCAAGCGAUUCUCCUGCCUCAGCCUCCGGAGUAGCUGGGAUUACAGAAAGAAGAAUAAAUGGGACAUUACACAAGGCAUGUUUCUCUGAUUUUCCACUUUCUAUCCUUAGGACAGAAGAAAGAUCUGUAUUCAAGACGGAAACAAGUUCCUUCCACAUUUGUUAUCAUGAAGGAUGUCUUGUGCUGUGAUUGAGAGGCUGCUCAUUAAGAAUCAUGAAAAGCUCGUUUGCAUGGUUUAGCAAUGAUGCAGAAUUACUUAUAAAAAUAUGAAGAAAAAUAGAUAGCAUGUUUAUAAACCCAAAGCUGGACCACACCCAGACAUUGUUUUUAAUAGUGCAUCAUGAUUAAGUUCAUCUUA